UGAAGUUGACGGGGCCGGCACAAGCGGUGGAGCAUGUGGUUAAUUCGAUGAUACGCGAGGAACUUACCUGGGCUCAAAUGUAUGUUGACGUAUUCUGAAAGGGAUACUUCUUCGGACAAUAUACAAGGUGCUGCAUGGUUGUCGUCAGCUCGUGCCGUGAGGUGUCGGGUUAAGUCCCAUAACGAGCGCAACCCCUAUCAUUAGUUGCCAUCAGGUCAAGCUGGGGACUCUAAUGAAACUGCCUACGCAAGUAGUGAGGAAGUGGGGAUGACGUCAAGUCAUCAUGGCCCUUACGGCCUGGGCUACACACGUGCUACAAUGGUCGGUACAAAGGGUUGCCAAGCCGCGAGGUGGAGCUAAUCCCAUAAAACCGAUCGUAGUCCGGAUCGCAGUCUGCAACUCGACUGCGUGAAGUCGGAAUCGCUAGUAAUCGUGAAUCAGAAUGUCACGGUGAAUACGUUCCCGGGCCUU
rnacentral:rRNA from 1 species